UGUGACUCACACCUCGAAUAGACCGUCUUUCUUUUUGCAAGGAGGAGGCCCGGAAGGAUGUCUCACUGGGAUCUCGGGGAGCACAUGAGACAGCAGAGGCACCCAGGAAGAGGUGGGAGAGUGGUGAAGUAAGACCAAUGAGAAGUACAUCGUAAUUCACUAUAGCAAAUGUUAACCAUUUCUGGAAAAGGGAAGUCCUGCCAACUAACUACUGGUGCAGCUGUUAAGCUGGGUUGGUGGAGGCCUGUAGCUGCUGCAAGGUGUUUGUGUUUUCAGGUUUCCUUCUACAGCAUGAGGGCCCCUACUUCCCUUUCUGGAUGCCCCUACACUUCAGUAACUCAAUAUGGAGGAGAUUUCUCUGCUCCCAAACACCAGCAGGAAGAGAGAAACUGUGAAGGCAGUCGGUCUGCAUCACAGUUGUUGUGGUCACCCCCGCACUGUGUCCCUGUCCACACCAUGCCACCCAUGAUGGCGUGGCAGCCACUUUUCACCUGCAAGGACACCGAUCGUAGGUAAAUAUUUAUUUUCGAAAAUUGCUUCCUAAAACAGGACAUGAUACGGGACUGGCUGGGUUUGAGCUCAAGCUGACUCAUGAGGAAGCAAGACUAACAUUUUCCUAGAGGGUGAACUCAAAAUUCCACAAGCUCAGCCUCCCACCGUCUGAGCACAGUGCAAACUUUGCUAUCCUCCUGAAAAGUUGGCUACAAGUUGAACAAAACCACAUGUUCUUGAAGUUGUGAAUGAACUGCAAGUUUCAUAAAAUGCAGGUUGGAGUAUAAAUCACCAUUUUCACCUUGAAAAACAAUUUCAUAUCUAGCAAAGUCAAGGUGAGAAUAUUUUUGUGUGCCAUAAUUCUGCACUCUAACUCUGCUCAAAAUGAACAUGUUCAUGGCAGUUUUGGCUAAAGAAAGGGAAAUGACUGAAGAGUCUGGAAAUAGAAAAAUGACUAAAUAAAUUAUGAUACAACCCUGGACUAAAAGUUAUAAAUAAAUGAAGAACAACACCUGGCAACAUGUGCAAAUCUCACCCAAAAAUGUCAAACAACUAAAACAUCAAGUCACAAGAAAAUGCCUAACGUUUGAGGGCAUAUAUCUAAAGUUCAGAAGUACGAUAAAAUAUAUAAAGGAUGUGCACAUUAGUAAAACACAAGGGAAUGAUGAACAGAAACUUCAGGGUCCUGGUUACCGCUGCGGGGACAGGGAGCUGUGGUCCGGUAGAUACAUAAGAAUGACAGACACAUAGAGGAAUCCUUACUAUGUGCAGGGCAUGUGCGGUGCACACCCGCUCACACACAAGAUAUUCUUACAAAGACUCACUUAACUGGGCUCCCUAAUUAUAUACAUGUAACUCCAGUUGUUCAGCCUUCUUGGUGCCACCUUUCCAUCUGUAGGUAUCUGGUGUGUGUGUAGAGGG